CUUAAAUUAAACAGUGGCAUGAAAUCUUGCACAUUUUAUAUAGUUAUAGCAAUCAUCCGAUAGGCUAAACAGUAAUGAUUUUAAAGUAAAAUGAAAUGAAGAGGUUAACGCUUAACAGUGCUAAGGUAGGCAUGUUAUCACAGUUGUUCACAUUCUUGCUAGACCAGUGUAUGCAUUAAUUAGACAUUAUAGGCAGGCUCUCUGGGUUUCGUAGGGUGACAGCAUGCAUUAGCGAGUCAGAUAAUAUACUUAAGAUAAAAUAAUAUAAACUGUGGCA